GUAGUCUAUUGUUCAUAAUAGCUGUGAAUACACUUAUCAGCUCCUCAGAUGCAGACUACCUCUUAACCCGGCGGGAAUUUCUACAACUAUAAUUUUCUUGCUGCUCUUUUUCUUCCCCUUCUUCAAAAUAAGUCUUUCGUUGGUUGCGUAGUUGAGACAUGAUACUUAUGCUGUUAUUUAUAAUGUGGCUUAGAGAAGCAAGAGAUAACUUGAUAGCGGCAGCUCUUCCUCGUCGACCACUGCAAGAGUCAGCUAGUGGAGCAGGUCGAGCUGCAGCAUUCAUUGCUGGUGAUAAAAUCUGGUAUAACGAAAAUAAUCAUUGCUUUUUGGUUGAGCCUCAGCAAGAAGUGGGAACAAGUUACUUUUACAAAAAAGAAGAUAUGGUUGUGGCGAGUUAUUGCAAAGUACCCAAAAACUGUGUUGUGUGACUCAGUGACACUUAUACCAUGUACUUACACUUAUUUGUAUGAAUACCAUAUUGUAUAAGUUUUUCUCUGCAUCGGUGUAUUGUUGAUUGUAUGCCGGAUUUGUUUGUCAUUUUGUUUACUGGUCAACAAUGUAUCAUCUCAGCCUGAAGGCAUAGAUAUUGGUCUGAACUGCAGCAUGCAUACAGUUCAGGCUUGGACUUGGGCCAAGACCAUAGAUAUAUGACUGUCGUAUAUCUAGUAUGCCAAGACCAAGAUGUCUUGUGUGAUGUUAGCACUAAGACUAAGUUUUUACCUUAUAGUCUACAUAUGCUAUGUACUUAUUAUCUCUGCAGUAAUACCACCCGUUAUUACCCAUGCAAGAGCAAACAUAUGUAUCUAAAAUUCACAGUAUCCUUGCUAUUACCAUUAGAUCUAUAAGUCUUGCCCACAUCAUUUAUAGUUCUAUUGUGUUACAUUGUACAACCUGCUGCAUGCAUAAAUUUUUAAAAAUAAUAGCAAAAUAAUAAAAUCUGUCUAUCAUAAAAAUCUAACAAUUAAUGCUAUUACAUGUAGUACACAAAAUGAUACAAAGGUUGCUUGAUCCAUUAUUUGUCAAAUUUAGCUGACAGACUAGACUCAAGGACAUCUGUAUCUUUUAUCA